CAUGCAGAACCUCAAUGACCGCCUGGCCUCCUACCUGGACAAGGCGCGUGCCCUGGAGGAGGCCAACGCUGACCUGGAGGUGAAGAUCCAUGACUGGUACCAGUGGCAGCGGCCUGCUGAGAUCAAAGACUACAGUCCCUACUUCAAGACCAUCGAGGAUCUGAGGAACAAGAACAUAAUGGGAUGGUGAGUGCAGACGACACACACGGCCUCAGUCUAUGGGAACAUCUCAAAGGAGUUCGUCUGCAAAUUCUAGUGCAUCUAGGCAGAACACAGGAAGGAAGAGAGGUGCAGACUUACGUAUGGCCCUGGGGCACCUGCCAUCCCCUCGAGCCUGUAUGGUCCUUACCCGCCCAUCCCCAGCUUGAGUUCUGGGCCUUCUCGCCAGCACAUCGUUGGGACCUG
rnacentral:lncRNA from 1 species